GAUGAACGCUGGCGGCGUGCCUAAUACAUGCAAGUCGAGCGAACGGACGAGAAGCUUGCUUCUCUGAUGUUAGCGGCGGACGGGUGAGUAACACGUGGAUAACCUACCUCUAAGACUGGGAUAACUUCGGGAAACCGGAGCUAAUACCGGAUAAUAUUUUGAACCGCAUGGUUCAAAAGUGAAAGACGGUCUUGCUGUCACUUAUAGAUGGAUCCGCGCUGCAUUGGCUAGUUGGGAAGGUAACGGCUUACCAAGGCAACGAUGCAUAGCCGACCUGAGAGGGUGAUCGGCCAGACGGGAACUGAGACACGGUCCAGACUCCGACGGGAGGAAGCAGUAGGGAAUCUUCCGCAAUGGGCGAAAGCCGGACGGAGCAACGCCGCGUGAGUGAUGAAGGUCUUCGGAUCGUAAAACUCUGUUAUUAGGGAAGAACAUAUGUGUAAGUAACUGUGCACAUCUUGACGGUACCUAAUCAGAAAGCCACGGCUAACUACGUG
rnacentral:rRNA from 1 species